rnacentral:rRNA from 1 species
ACACAAAAAGCUUGCCCAUCACCCAAAGAUUCAUUUAGAUAAUCAUAAAUUAUAAGAAGUAUUGGAGAUAGAAACUUAGAAAGGAGCUAUAGAAUAAAAGUAUCGUAAGAGAAGGCGAGAAAUAGUAAUAAGAAGAGAUAAAACCUCGUCCCUUGUGUAUCAUGGCUUAGCAACCUAAUCCUUUAAAUUAACAUUCCCGAAGCUCAAUGAGCUACCAAUCCCUAGUUUGGAACCCAUCAGUCCUUGUGGAAAAAAGGUUGAAAGAGGCCUUGGUAGAGACAAUAUAUCUGUCGCAUUGAGAAAUAGCUGGUUUCCAGGGAAAUAUAUCGAAGUAUAAGAGGGUUAACACCCUUCUUCCUGCUCAGGGGACAACCUCUUAGCAGAAUUCACUUUGUGAGAUAUAACCCUAAUCAUAAUCUGGGCUUAAAAUCAGCCUUGAUCUUAAAACAAGUUACAUUGUAAUGAGAAAUGGGGGUAUAAUUAUAAAUCCACAAUUCCAGAGUACCUGGGGAUUCUGACCAAUACAAAUCAGAAGACACUAUGCUAAGACGAGUAUAGCUACCCUUAAACAAAGUAAAGGGGUAACUUAACAAAUAAAGAUAAGGAAUUCGGCAAACAAAAGCUCUGACUGUUUAUCAAAAACAUAGCCAUUCGAACUUACGGAUGGUAAAACCUGCCCAGUGGUAAAUCUUAACGGCUGCCGG